rnacentral:rRNA from 1 species
UACGGCUCAGUAACACGUGGAUAACCUGCCCUUGGGACCGGCAUAACCCCGGGAAACUGGGGAUAAUUCCGGAUAACGCAUAUGUGCUGGAAUGCUUUAUGCGUAAAAUGGAUUCGUCUGCCCAAGGAUGGGUCUGCGGCCUAUCAGGUAGUAGUGGGUGUAAUGUACCUACUAGCCGACAACGGGUACGGGUUGUGAGAGCAAGAGCCCGGAGAUGGAUUCUGAGACAUGAAUCCAGGCCCUACGGGGCGCAGCAGGCGCGAAAACUUUACAAUGCGGGAAACCGUGAUAAGGGGACACCGAGUGCCAGCAUCAUAUGCUGGCUGUCCGGGUGUGUAAAAUACACCUGUUAGCAAGGGCCGGGCAAGACCGGUGCCAGCCGCCGCGGUAACACCGGCGGCCCGAGUGGUGAUCGUGAUUAUUGGGUCUAAAGGGUCCGUAGCCGGUUUGGUCAGUCCUCCGGGAAAUCUGAUAGCUCAACUAUUAGGCUUUCGGGGGAUACUGCCAGACUUGGAACCGGGAGAGGUAAGAGGUACUACAGGGGUAGGAGUGAAAUCUUGUAAUCCCUGUGGGACCACCUGUGGCGAAGGCGUCUUACCAGAACGGGUUCGACGGUGAGGGACGAAAGCUGGGGGCACGAACCGGAUUAGAUACCCGGGUAGUCCCAGCCGUAAACGAUGCUCGCUAGGUGUCAGGCAUGGCGCGACCGUGUCUGGUGCCGCAGGGAAGCCGUGAAGCGAGCCACCUGGGAAGUACGGCCGCAAGGCUGAAACUUAAAGGAAUUGGCGGGGGAGCACA